ACAUGCAGUCGAGCGGACCGACGGGAGCUUGCUCCCUUAGGUCAGCGGCGGACGGGUGAGUAACACGUGGGUAACCUGCCUGUAAGACUGGGAUAACUCCGGGAAACCGGGGCUAAUACCGGAUGCUUGAUUGAACCGCAUGGUUCAAUCAUAAAAGGUGGCUUUUAGCUACCACUURCAGAUGGACCCGCGGCGCAUUAGCUAGUUGGUGAGGUAACGGCUCACCAAGGCGACGAUGCGUAGCCGACCUGAGAGGGUGAUCGGCCACACUGGGACUGAGACACGGCCCAGACUCCUACGGGAGGCAGCAGUAGGGAAUCUUCCGCAAUGGACGAAAGUCUGACGGAGCAACGCCGCGUGAGUGAUGAAGGUUUUCGGAUCGUAAAACUCUGUUGUUAGGGAAGAACAAGUACCGUUCGAAUAGGGCGGYACCUUGACGGUACCUAACCAGAAAGCCACGGCUAACUACGUGCCAGCAGCCGCGGUAAUACGUAGGUGGCAAGCGUUGUCCGGAAUUAUUGGGCGUAAAGCGCGCGCAGGCGGUUUCUUAAGUCUGAUGUGAAAGCCCCCGGCUCAACCGGGGAGGGUCAUUGGAAACUGGGGAACUUGAGUGCAGAAGAGGAGAGUGGAAUUCCACGUGUAGCGGUGAAAUGCGUAGAGAUGUGGAGGAACACCAGUGGCGAAGGCGACUCUCUGGUCUGUAACUGACGCUGAGGCGCGAAAGCGUGGGGAGCGAACAGGAUUAGAUACCCUGGUAGUCCACGCCGUAAACGAUGAGUGCUAAGUGUUAGAGGGUUUCCGCCCUUUAGUGCUGCAGCAAACGCAUUAAGCACUCCGCCUGGGGAGUACGGUCGCAAGACUGAAACUCAAAGGAAUUGACGGGGGCCCGCACAAGCGGUGGAGCAUGUGGUUUAAUUCGAAGCAACGCGAAGAACCUUACCAGGUCUUGACAUCCUCUGACAACCCUAGAGAUAGGGCUUCCCCUUCGGGGGCAGAGUGACAGGUGGUGCAUGGUUGUCGUCAGCUCGUGUCGUGAGAUGUUGGGUUAAGUCCCGCAACGAGCGCACCCUUGAUCUUAGUUGCCAGCAUUCAGUUGGGCACUCUAAGGUGACUGCCGUGACAACCGGAGGAAGGUGGGGAUGACGUCAAUCAUCUGCCCCUAUGACUGGGCUA
rnacentral:rRNA from 1 species